rnacentral:lncRNA from 1 species
AUGUUUUCUCCACGUUACAGAUGGGGCUCGGGGAAGUUCAGUGGUGGGGCUGGGGCCCCUCCAGGAAUCCAGGCCUCCGGAUCCCUAGCUGUUCCACUCCAGCGCGGGGCCCACCUCACCCAUCUGCUCUGCCUCCCCAGUCACAGGACAGACCUUUUCUCUGAAGAACAUCUCCACAGACAUGUCCGGUUACUACUUCUGCACCUCCAGCAACGAGAUGGGGUCGCAGUCCUGCAACAUCACCGUGGCGGUCAGACCUCCCUCCAUGAACGUGGCGCUGUACGCGGGCGUGGCGGCGGGCGUGGCGGCGGCCCUCAUCCUCCUCGGCGUGCUGGUCUACUGCUGCUGCUGCCGGGGGAAGAGCGAGGACCCCGACGCCGAGGACGCCAGGCCGUGAGUGGCGGGUGGGCAGGCUGGGAGAUUCCCCGGCACCGGGGUCGCCGCCUGCGGCGGCUGAGGACAGGCAGCGACUCGCCGAGGUCACCAAGCGGGUCGCAGUCCCUGGCCCGGCCUCCAGGCCCGUGGGUCCCGGUCCCUGCUCUCAGGCUGGGGCUCCUGGGGGCCCGGGGCUGAGCGCGGUGGAGCCUCGGUCGCCGUCCUCCUUGUCUGCUGGAGCCAGCCCGGCCCGGGAGGCCCCGCUCAGGAGUGGAGCUGGUCUGCGCCACCGUCUGUCCUCUCGGGGCCCGCCCUCAGCCUCGUGUCCCUGUGCAGCUGGACGGGUGGGCAGGGCGGGUCUGAGGGUGAGCACGGGGCCCAGCUCCCUCCGGCCGAGCCGAACCGGGGCGAACCUUGCCCUGUCCUCACGCCGCAGGAAGCGCGAGGCCUACCAGCAGCCGGCGCAGCAGAUGAGAGAGCUUUCCAGAGGGCAGGACGAGGAGGACGGCUCCAGGCACGAAGACCAGAGGAGCGAUGGGCACGAGUACCCUGACCACACUGGCCAGUGACCGGGGCCUGCUGCAGGCGGGCGUGGGGGUGGGAGGGCUGGGGUUCACUCCGCUGGCCCCCUUCCUCCCCUCUCCUCUCCGAGCCGCAUUUUCUGACCCUCAUCCCAGUCACUGAUGGGAUCCUUCCUCCCCUGCGUCGGCUGCUGGAGCACUUGGCUCGGCCUGGUGGCCAAGGGGAUCUCACUGGUGACUGACCCUGCCAACUGCCCUCACCUGCGGAGUGACCCCUCCCCACUGCCACGCCUCGCUGGGGGCCCAGCCCUCAGCCUGGACCGGCGGCAGCCUCCACCUUCCCCAGUGCCUGGCAGGAGCUCCCUGCAGCUCAGGACUGAGCAUGGGGCACUCCUGCGGCGGAUGCUCAGCGGGCAGUGCAGCCUCGGAGGGCGGGCCGCCUGCUCACCCCUGUGCCCCGCACCUUGGGGAGCGCCCGGCACGCAUAACGUUUUUGUUGAGUGAAUGAAAGAAUAAAUGAGUACCUGAAGGACUCCCUAUUAUUAUC